UAGAUAUCCUUGGCAAAGAAAGUUACUUGCGCACUUCUUCUCUCCGUCUUUCUGUGACGUCGCAUCAUUAACGCAUGCGCACCAUUCCAUCAUCGACACACGGUUAGCUGUCGGUCGAGGUGGGGGUGUCAAGUCGACUCGCCGCCCCGGCGUGUCUGCAAGGUGUGCUUGGGUGUAUGUGAGCGUACGUGAAAGGGAUUUUUUUUCUUGUUGCUUGGUGACCUUGUCACCAAACCCCUGAAUCACUCGCUGCGGAGAAAAGAAGAUGGGUGCAUCAGAGCCUUGCGUCAUCUAUGUCAUCUGUUCACUACGCUGCAUCGGCUACGGCAGACCUCGCGGCAUUCGCGUACCAGGGGCGAUCGCUGCCGACGCGCAGGUACGCGGGAGCGUUGAUUUCAGAGAUCUCCGGUGAUGUGCCGUCACUACCACCGGCGCAGCGCGAACGUCGGGUACAACCGUCCAGCCCCGCUAUAGCAUCACCGGUACACGCCCCUACGCUUCUCACGCACUCGACCGCUGCGUUGCACGGUCGAGGUCACGCACCGCCUUACAGCUCCCCGAUCCGCGUAUCCACAAAAAUCUUCGGCGAUGGACGCCAUGUAGCACCUCCGUCGAACCGACAUACCGCAUGGCUGCAUUCACCCCGCAUUGCCCCAGCGAGUGCGCUCGACGCGAGCCCGCAACCGCGAACACCGCCGCACUACGGCGGCCACAACGCCCGCACUGCUGCUGCCGCUGGCCCAUUUGGCAGUCGGCACGUUGCCGGCUACGCUGAUUUGCGCCGCCCCUCCGAAGCUGGCUUCACGCCGUCUUCGACACCACACAGGACUGCUGUCGGUGCUACUGCCGUUGCGCCCCGGGCAACUACUUCCUUGUCUGUGCCCUCCUCGGCUGCCUUGUGUUGGAUGUGCGAGGCGUGGUGCAAGGGUGGACCCGGCUCCACCUGGCCUGAGGCGCCUGCGCUAUUCUUUGCACGAGUCGCAGAUGGGCCGCCGGCGAGCCUGCUCACGCUAUGCAGCACCUGUGCCAUCGCCGUUGGUGGGGACACGCACGCCACGUCGCAGAGAGUCCUUGCGCGCUGCCACCACACGCCGGUGAUCCGCUACCGCACUGCCGCCUACGUCAACGCAGUCCGCGAGUACAAGCUGCUACUAGAGCUGAUGGCACGCAAGGUGGUCCGCUCCUGUGAGCGUAUGCAGUCGAUCCAGUCGUCUGUGGCGCGACAGAAGCAGGAGCAGCAGCGGCUGCACGCCUACGGCGCAGCAGAGGAGCCGCAGAGGUACCUGAACCCUUCCUUGGACGCUGCUCGCGUGCCUCUCACGUCCCUCGCGCCAUCGCUACAGGAGAAGGUGCUGAGCCAACUGCUAGAGGCACUGGAGGACCUACUGCAGCGCGACGGGCGCGCCAUGCGGCUCGCGGCGGCUGAGACGUCUCUGUCACAGGAGAGGUCACCGCUGCCGUUUUCCGAAGUGAUGGCGCCACGAGAGCGUCACGUGCUGCUCGAAGAGCUGGCACAUGUGGAACGGCAGCUGAUGAGCGCGAGGUCUUCAGCGACGUCAGCGGCGACCAUGCCGGCGAAGCCCAGAGUCUCGCCACGGUCUCUUCGGGAGAGGCACCUGUAUUACGUCCCGUCUACGAGCCCGGCAAGCACGCAUGAGAGGGCAGAUGCCGACGAUGGGUGUGUGGUGUACUCGCCUCGCUCUCCCGUGCAGCCACAUCGGUCGCCUCCGAGGUCGUCGGUGUCUCCAUGGGGCCGCGUUGCGGAGGAGGCCGCGGAUCGCUUGGCUGCUGUGGCUGACCCCCGCCGGUGCUUAUACCACCGCCAUGAUCGGAUGCCCGGCAGCUCGCACGCUGCAUCAGUGAGGGGUCAUCGUGAUACAUCCAGCCAAGCGCCGCGCCGGUCACGGAGCAGGGAUUGCUCGCCACCGGAACUGACAUCGCCGCAGCGCAGUACACGUGGCAAGUACGAUGACAGAACCUCCAAUGCUGCUGGCCGUAAAGAUAGUGAUAACACCGUCUCUGGAAGCCACACUAGAGCAAGUGGCGGCAUCGCCGUGCUUGGCAUUCGAACGCCUGCAGCGACGACAGCAACAGUGCCAUUUCCCUUCUCUCCUGCGCCGCGACGGGCGCGAAGCACCAGCGGCAAUCAUCGCCGUGAAGUUGACAGCGCUUCUCGAGCAGACGACGAAAGCGGUUCGCGAGACACAAGGCUCUCCAUCCAGGAUGGUACAAACCGCCACGGUGCCGCUCCUGUAGUGCAGUCUCGACCUCCACUGGAUCAAGACGGCCGCCGCUCGAUGUGGGCUGUGAUCGACACAGCCAUAUGGGAGGCUUACCGUCGGCCCCCACCCAUGGAGGGCGAGUCUCAGGAGUCCACGACUCACAGUAGCGGGGAGGCCGGAGCAGGGGAUGACAAUGGCAGGCAUCGCCGCCAUGGUGCCGCUGCCGCCGGCACCAGGAACCCUAACAGAGACUCGGAUCUACAGCUUUGGGACUACUUCGCCGGCGGAUUAUCAACGACGCCGCAGCUGCACGUUGGUGGCGGUGGUGAUGGUGGUCGCGGAACCCCACCCUCGACGUCUCCGUCACCAGACUCACACCCGCUGGCGUGUGAAGGCCGCGGGCCAGUGUCGCCACGGCAGCGGACCGACGCGACAUCACAAACGCGAGUCGAAGCAGUUGCGGCGGGUGGCUUUGACGGUCAACUGGGCGACCCCAGCAGCGACGACACUGCUGCGCUUCAGCGUCGCGUUUUCCACGAGCAGCAGCUGCGACGGGAGGCCAAAGAGGCCAUGCUUGCCGCACAGGCCCAGAUCGCUGCACUGGAGAUGACCACAAACGACAUGGCAGAGACGCUACUGACUCACCGCCUCGCUGUGACGUUCCGCGCGCACCUGGAGGGGAUGGAGAUGCUGGUGGGGCGCUGGACGCGGCUCGCGCAGAAUUUCUGCCUGCAGAAGAGUCUCCUGUUUGCCGAGGAGGCGUCGGCGGUGGUGCGGCAGUUGUUCCGCGUGAGGUUCGGUGUGGCACGGCUGUGGUCGCCGCGAACACAGCCGCAGCAGCUGCAGUCAGGCCGGCGCCAGACUUCACCGUACAUCGAAGCCCCUACAUCGCAUGAGGAGCGAGAGGAGGAGCUGUGGGUUAGUCGAGGGGAGGAAGAAGCUAGCGGCACCAGGUGGGACAGCAGUUUCUCUUGCAUGUCUGAAGAGGGCCACCGCAAUGGUGCUGUUGUGGUGACCCACCACCCGCUGAGGUCGACUGGGGGAGAGAAGGAGGCGCACCAUCAUGGCCGCCAUACCGAUCAUCCUUCAACGCGCUCUUCGCCAGAGCGGCAACCCUUGCAGACGUCGCCGCCAAGCAUCACACCGGCUUCCCCGUCGUUUUCCUUCCCCACAAAUCUCCAGCUGCGGCCGCUGUCGUUGCGCUUGUGAGUGAGACAGGCGAUCUCACUGCUGCCGCUGCUGGGCACCAAACCUUCGCCUCUCUCUGCAACACUCGUCUCCAUUCUCCCCGCCUCCCAUGCUCUCCCUCCCUUGCCCCACUGCAG
rnacentral:misc_RNA from 1 species